GCUCAUUAUAUAAGUUAUCGUUUAUUUGAUAGUACCUUACUACUUGGAUAACCGUGGUAAUUCUAGAGCUAAUACAUGCUGAAAAUCCCGACUUCGGAAGGGAUGUAUUUAUUAGAUUAAAAACCAAUGCCCUCUGGGCUCUCUGGUGAUUCAUGAUAACUUCUCGAAUCGCAUGGCCUUGCGCCGGCGAUGGUUCAUUCAAAUUUCUUCCCUAUCAACUUUCGAUGUUUGGGUAGUGGCCAAACAUGGUUGCAACGGGUAACGGAGGGUUAGGGCUCGACCCCGGAGAAGGAGCCUGAGAAACGGCUACUACAUCCAAGGAAGGCAGCAGGCGCGCAAAUUACCCAAUCCCGAUUCGGGGAGGUAGUGACAAUAAAUACUGAUACAGGGCUCUUUUGGGUCUUGUAAUUGGAAUGAGUACAAUUUAAAUCCCUUAACGAGGAACAAUUGGAGGGCAAGUCUGGUGCCAGCAGCCGCGGUAAUUCCAGCUCCAAUAGCGUAUAUUAAAGUUGUUGUGGUUAAAAAGCUCGUAGUUGAACCUUGGGCCUGGCUGGCCGGUCCGCCUCACCGCGUGUACUGGUCCGGCCGGGUCUUUCCCUCUGUGGAACCCCAUGCCCUUCACUGGGUGUGGCGGGGAAACAGGACUUUUACUUUGAAAAAAUUAGAGUGCUCCAGGCAGGCCUAUGCUCGAAUACAUUAGCAUGGAAUAAUGAAAUAGGACGUGCGGUUCUAUUUUGUUGGUUUCUAGGACCGCCGUAAUGAUUAAUAGGGACAGUCGGGGGCAUCAGUAUUCAAUUGUCAGAGGUGAAAUUCUUGGAUUUAUUGAAGACUAACUACUGCGAAAGCAUUUGCCAAGGAUGUUUUCAUUAAUCAGGAACGAAAGUUAGGGGAUCGAAGACGAUCAGAUACCGUCGUAGUCUUAACCAUAAACUAUGCCGACUAGGGAUCGGACGAUGUUAUUUUUUGACUCGUUCGGCACCUUACGAG
rnacentral:rRNA from 1 species